GACAGAGGGUGCAAACGUUGUUCGGAAUUACUGGGCGUAAAGCGCGUGUAGGCGGCUCGGAAAGUCGGAUGUGAAAGCCCAGGGCUCAACCCUGGAAGUGCACUCGAAACUCCCGAGCUGGAGUCCCGGAGAGGAAGGCGGAAUUCUCGGUGUAGAGGUGAAAUUCGUAGAUAUCGAGAGGAACACCUGUGGCGAAGGCGGCCUUCUGGACGGUGACUGACGCUGAGACGCGAAAGCGUGGGGAGCAAACGGG
rnacentral:rRNA from 1 species